rnacentral:misc_RNA from 1 species
GAUGAAGAACGCAGCGAAAUGCGAUAAGUAAUAUGAAUUGCAGAAUUCAGUGAAUCAUCGAAUCUUUGAACGCACCUUGCGCCCUUUGGCUAUUCCGAAGGGCAUGCCUGUUUGAGUAUCAUGAACACCUCAACUCUUCACGGCUUGCCGUGAUGAGUUUGGACUUUGGGGGUCUUGCUGGCCUACGAGCCAGCUCCUCUCAAAUGUAUUAGCUUGCCGGUGUUUGGUGGCAUCACAGGUGUGAUAACUAUCUACGCUUGUGGUUUUCCACUAGGUAACCUUCAGCAAUGGAGGUUCACCGGAGCUCACAAAUGUCUCUCCUUGCCAAGGACAGAUUUUGACCAUUUGAUCUCAAAUCAGGUAGGACUACCCGCUGAACUUAAGCAUAUCAAUAAGCGGAGGA